UCCACCCCCCCCCCCCAAAAAAAGUAAAAGCAAAAUAAGGAAGAACAAAAACAGAGAACAACAACAAAACAAAAAACAAAAAGAGAGAGGGGACAAGGGUGGGGGGAAGAGACAGAAAGAGAGAGAGAGACAGAAAAGACGGGAUAGAAAGCUAGCGCCCGUUAUCAUAACGGGCUUAAAAAUACUAGUUAUUAAUAAUUAUGGAGGCCCUGCUCUAGGUUUUAUCUCUGGGAAGAGAUUAAAGCCUGGCCUAGUGGCUUCUCUGGGGUAGCCUCCAGGAUAUGGAAUUUCUUCUCCAGGGAAAUCUGUUUGGCUCCCAAUUUGCUUAUUGAAGACCUGUCUAAUUAGGCCAAGCCUGCACAACUUUGGACCUCCUGCAGAUGUUGGACUGCAACUCCCAUCAUCUCUGACUCCUGGCCACUGUGGCUGGGGAUUAUGGGAGUUGUAGUCCAAAAACAGCUGGCGGGCUGAAGUUGUGCAUCCCCGAUUUAGGUUGACCUGUGAUACUGAGUCUUUGUUGGGGCUGGGCUUUUUUGUUGCCUUUGUAAUUUUUGGUCUACUUUUAAAAAAAUGAUAUUCAUUUAUUUUUGUAGUUAUAUUUGCCACACUAUAUAUUGGAUUAUAUUUACUUCUGUGAAGGUGGGAUGUAUUUUUCCUAAAUAAAGAACAGUGACUCAGGGAAGGUAUUCAGCAGUGUCUUUUGGAUAUGACACCCCAACUUUAUUAUCUCCCUAAGCAGGAGGCAGAGCACAACCUUGUAAGGAUUCAAAAGACAGCUCUGCAAACAAAUCCGUAAAAUUUCUUAGUCCAUGACAAUACUUCAUAGCCAGCUAGCUUACAUAAACCUAGAUUAUGCUGUUCAUGGGUGGUUUAAUUGUACAUUGAUUUUAUAUGGUAUGAUUUUAACAAAAGCUGCUGAUCUGAUCUGUCGUUAAGAACCUGAUCUGUCGGAGAUAGGCAAGCAUUUGCAAGUGAAAAGGGAGAAAAAAGGUGGCUGGUUGGCGAGGGGAGAAGAUUACGACACACCUUUUAUCCUGGCCUGAUAACCUGGAGGGUCCUCCCAGCACUGAAAAAAGUGUCCUACUAUGUGGAGGUCAGCACAGUGAGAAAUGGCUCUCACACUGAAGGUUUUUUGCUAAAGUGGACCUGCCUGAACAAUAGAAGUGCCUCGGCCUGAAGACCAUGUGCCAUGCAAGCCCUACAAGACAGAUGAGGAGAGGGAGUGACUGGCCGCGGAUCACUCAGAUGGGCUCAGAGGCAACCCUGUCAUAAGGCAAGGUGAAGUGACUGUUUCCAGCAUCCAGAUCCUGGAUGCUUGGAUCUUACUCACUGUGAACACACCAAAACCAAACAAGGUAUGGUCCUCCUGACCAGUAACACCAACUCAGUAAGCAAGAUCAGGACAAAACCAUCCCGCCAACGUAGUUGGAACAAACAACAUGUACAAUGUACUGCCAAUAUAAACACGGCAUAUAUACUGAUGCCAUAUCAAGUAAAAUAUACAUCACAAUUCAGAAUCUUAAGCAAAAAUACAUAUAUAGACAAUUGUAAAACAAAAGUGUACAUCAUAGUAAAAAACAAACAAACUAGGAGGUGUGGAAAUGCAGGCAACCCUCUUAAAACCCAGAGAUUUGCAAGCCUCCCAGUAUUACAUGGGAGCUACAUCUAUUAUUGGUGUUAUACAAACGGGGGGGGAAUCUGUUGGACCAGCCAGUAUGGAGGAUAUAUCCUUAGCGCCUCUUCUGCCGCUUAUGGCAAUGCCAGCACAUUGUUGCUGCUCCCAGCUCUUACCAGUGUGGACGCGGAGGUGCACCUUGAGGUGGUGAGAGGACCUGAAAGACUUCCCGCAGAACGGGCAGUCUUUCCCAGAGCCCCGGCGGGAUCCAUCUAGGCGUGGCUGCCCCUGCAUGUCUGGGAAAGACACAGUGGAGAGGGAGAGGGCAGAUUUUAGGAUGAGAUUCCAAGAUUCCUUAACCUUCCCCAUGUGGCUUCCAUAUUGUUCUCUUUCAACAUUUUUCUCCCAUUGCAGACCCCUAGAGACGGAGCCUUGCACCCAGUCAGAAACACUCCAAGUGUCCCUCAUCCCCACCAAUUCCUGCCGAGAAUCCCCUUGUACCAUGCAAAGCCAGCCAUGUGGAAUACAUCGCUGGCUUGGGAUUUGCCCUACUUUGUCACCUGAUGACUCAAAAGCACCACUGUCAGCCAACUGGCCUCAGAAAAUACAAUGUACUCCUACCAUAUUGUAUGACUCACAGCUAAUUUUUGCAUAUAGUUAAGAAAGGAAAAUGCCAUGCAACAAUUCGUAGAAAAAAUGACAGUGUUUUGUAAGCUUUUAGAGAUGUAAAUAUAGGAAGGAUAAUGUACAACAACAGAUUUUGGUGAUGAUAUGAA